UUUUUCAAUAUUCCGAGGUUGGAAAAAAAAAAUUUUCAUUUUUUUUUUCCAACCUCGGAAUUUUGAAAAA